rnacentral:rRNA from 1 species
GUCCACGCCGUAAACGAUGAGAACUAGGUGUCGUGGGUGUUGACCCCCGCGGUGCCGUAGCUAACGCAUUAAGUUCUCCGCCUGGGAAGUACGGCCGCAAGGUUAAAACUCAAAGGAAUUGACGGGGCCCGCACAAGCGGUGGAGCAUGUGGUUUAAUUCGACGCAACGCGCAGAACCUUACCCAGACUUGACAUCCUGGAAAGGCGGCCCAAAAGCUGCUGUGCCCGCAAGGGAAUCCAGAGACAGGUGCUGCAUGGCUGUCGU